CGCUGGCGGCGUGCUAAUACAUGCAAGUCGAGCGAACCAAAGGGAGCUUGCUCCCGAUGGUUAGCGGCGGACGGGUGAGUAACACGUGGGCAACCUGCCUGUAAGACUGGGAUAACACCGGGAAACCGGUGCUAAUACCGGAUGAUUCUUUUCCUCACAUGAGGAAAAGUUAAAAGACGGUUUCGGCUGUCACUUACAGAUGGGCCCGCGGCGCAUUAGCUAGUUGGUGAGGUAACGGCUCACCAAGGCGACGAUGCGUAGCCGACCUGAGAGGGUGAUCGGCCACAUUGGGACUGAGACACGGCCCAAACUCCUACGGGAGGCAGCAGUAGGGAAUCUUCCGCAAUGGACGAAAGUCUGACGGAGCAACGCCGCGUGAGCGAUGAAGGCCUUCGGGUCGUANAGCUCUGUUGUCAGGGAAGAACAAGUACCGGAGUCACUGCCGGUACCUUGACGGUACCUGACCAGAAAGCCACGGCUAACUACGUGCCAGCAGCCGCGGUAAUACGUANGUGGCAAGCGUUGUCCGGAAUUAUUGGGCGUAAAGCGCGCGC
rnacentral:rRNA from 1 species